GCUGGGCGUGGUGGCGCGCACCUGUAAUCCCAGCGGCUUGGGAGGCUGAGACAGGAAGAUCGUGAGUUCAAAGCCAGCCUCAGCAAUUUAGCGAGGCCCUAAGCAACUCAGGAAGACCCUGUCUCUA
rnacentral:sRNA from 1 species